rnacentral:lncRNA from 1 species
UCCUUUAUAUUUUGUUGUAUGAUACUCCCAUUCAUGGUAAGCAUCAUUACCUACCAACAUGCUCCACUUUUGUUCGACAUGUUUCUCCCAUAAAUAAUCGCUUCUACUCAUGUUCCUCAAAUUAGUACACACUUGUGCUAUCCUAAACAAAUCUUGUGAUGAAAGAUGCUUAAUGAUGCAAUGUACAACUUCAUCAGAUAAAUCUAAAAGAGAAACCUUGCAAUCCCCUU